UACGUAGGGCGCAAGCGUUGUCCGGAAUUAUUGAGCGUAAAGAGCUCGUAGGCGGCCUGUUGCGUCCGCUGUGAAAUCCCGGGGCUCAACCCCGGGCGUGCAGUGGAUACGGGCUGGCUGGAGGCAGGCAGGGGAGACUGGAAUUCCUGGUGUAGCGGUGGAAUGCGCAGAUAUCAGGAGGAACACCGGUGGCGAAGGCGGGUCUCUGGGCAGUAACUGACGCUGAGGAGCGAAAGCGUGGGGAGCGAACAGG
rnacentral:rRNA from 1 species